rnacentral:lncRNA from 1 species
UGAAAUCCUUCACAUUCAAAACCAAAGGGAGAUGAUGCAAAACUUAAAGCAAACAUAAAUAUCAACUACUUAAUAGUACAACAGUGACAACGAGCAAAGCCACAGCAAAAACUAACAACAAACUAAUAGACAGAACAUGUUUGGCUUAAUAGAAGUUUAUUUUAGAUAAUACAAGGCCUAGAACUAGCUCUGUAGCUUCUCAAACUCAAUAGGAACUUCUCCCGUCACCCUCUGUGAUCACAUCUUUGAAAGCUCCGCCACUGGGAAUCAUAGGUAAAACAUGUUCCUGAUGAGGUACAAUCACAUCCAACAAGUAUGGCCCAGGAGUGUCUAACAUCUUCUGAAUGGCAGCUCUAAGAUCAUCCCUAUGUGUCACUCUUGCAGCAGGUACGCCACAAGCCUCUGCAAAUUUCAGCAUAUUAGGAAAGAUCUCCGCCUCAUUA